UACGUAGGGGGCGAGCGUUGUCCGGAAUCAUUGGGCGUAAAGAGCGUGUAGGCGGCCCGAUAAGUCCGCUGUGAAAGUCCAGGGCUCAACCCUGGAAUGCCGGUGGAAACUGUCGGGCUAGAGUUCGGAAGAGGUGAGUGGAAUUCCUGGUGUAGCGGUGAAAUGCGCAGAUAUCAGGAGGAACACCAAUGGCGAAGGCAGCUCACUGGGACGAUACUGACGCUGAGACGCGAAAGCGUGGGGAGCAAACAGG
rnacentral:rRNA from 1 species